rnacentral:rRNA from 1 species
CCUACGGGCGGCAGCAGUGAGGAAUAUUUGUCAAUGGGCGCGAGCCUGAACCAGCCACGUAGCGUGAAGGAUGACUGCCCUACGGGUUGUAAACUUCUUUUAUAAAGGAGUAAAGUGAGGCACGUGUACCUUUUUGUAUGUACUUUAUGAAUACGGAUCGGCUAACUACGUGCCAGCAGCCGCGGUAAUACGGAGGUUCCGAGCGUUAUCCGGAUGUAUUGGGUUUAAAGGGAGCGUAGAUGGGUUGUUAAGUCAGUUGUGAAAGUUUGCGGCUCAACCGUAAAAUUGCAAUUGAUACUGGCAGUCUUGAGUACAGUUGAGGUAGGCGGAAUUCGUGGUGUAGCGGUGAAAUGCUUAGAUAUCACGAAGAACUCCGAUGGCGAAGGCAGCUUACUAAACUGCCACUGACAUUGAUGCUCGAAAGUGUGGGUAUCAAACAGGAUUAGAUACCCGGGUAGUC